rnacentral:lncRNA from 1 species
UGUGACAUGAUUUCCGUCCAGAUUAUAGAGUAUCGUGGUGUGAUAAGCAGAAUUUUCAAAUGUUUCGGUAAUGGCGUUGACGGCUACUGCGACAGAGUCAGUUCGUAAGGGGAAGUGGAUUUAGGAUAUGGUACCAUUUGAACCCAUUGAAAAUUUGAAAUAGCAACAACCACCAGCAGCAUUGAAAUGUACAAUUUAAAAGGAAGGAUCAAGAGUAUUUUUUCUCACUUUUUCUCCAUUGAUAAAGAAAUAUAUAUUAAAUAAUCAUCACCAAGUAACGAUUGAAAUAUUUAGGAUGACAGAGAUUUGCUUUUUGGACAGUUUCGACUAUUGCCAAAAGGUGGGCUUGGGGGCACAAUGGGUAAAUGUCAUGCUGUUAUCGCUUGCUUUUCUAGUCUGAGUGACAGGAGAUUCUGUUGGAUGUAUUGUUACGUGUAUUGAGAUAAACCUCCCACGUGGGCUUGGUUCACCAGCUUUUUACAAACUUGAAGCUAAGUUGGAUGAAGAUCAUCCAAGAGUGAAGAAGAUCAUCCAAGAGUUCGAUCGUGUGGUCCAGAAUUGUGUCUUUUAACGGAUCACCUGGGUACCGAGUAAAGUCGGCAUUGUUGCGUGGCGUGCCGAAGGAGACAGGUUGCCAACUAUAGUUGCUCUUGCGAAAAGAGGUAU